rnacentral:lncRNA from 1 species
CUCAGGAGACUGUCUGGUGUGGAAAUGAAGAUGAUGUCUGGAAGGAAGGGCUUUAUGCUAGAUCAGGAGAGAGAGGUCUCCCUCAGUGAGGACUACAAG